UGGUGGCAGGCAGCCGCCCCUGCCUUGGGUGUCCACCUCCAUCAGCCUCCACGGAGCCUCCGCGAGCUCCAGCAGGUCCUGUCCCAACUCCUGAGCAAGGCAGAUCCGGCUGCCUCGGACUGGCUCCUCUCUCUUCACUGACCUGUGGCCGUUUCCCGACAGGCCCUGUGCCCAUUUCCCGACAGGCCCUGUGCCCAUCUUGCCUCACCUGGAUCCUGCUCCCACUUCCUCCUGAGCCCUCCAGGACGCCUGCUGCUCGCUGUCCCAUUCGCUGGCUCCCAGGAUGUUCUGUGAGCUCUCUUAGAGUCCCCAUGACAGCCACCACCAAUGCCUAGCUAUUUCCCGCCCAGCUUGUGAACCCCGGGCAGCACCAGCCACUGACUUUUGGUUUCCUGUAGCCUCAGACUGGCACAGAGUAGCAUCUUCAUAACUGCAAGCUGCAGGACUGCCCGAUGCGUGGAUGCAGGUGCCUGGGGGGAGGCGGGCGUCCGAAGCUGGACGGUCAGCCAGCGCUGGCAGGUGGGAGGCCCUCAGUGAAUGGCGGCCAUCAGCUUCACCGCACAUUUGUGAAACGACAGGAUGCUGACCAGGUGUCCAGAGAGGAUAUGCAAAGUCACUGUUCCGACCGCAAAGAAAGGCCGAUGGGGGAAGGAAAGGUCAGAGUACAGCGGCUUUGGCUGGGGAAGUCUCCCUGAGAGGGGCCUUGUACAUAGACCUUUUUGUAGGCCAGGCCAUUAUGGGACUGAGCAGAUCCCCUCGAGGAAAAGCAGUUUUAUUGGGCUAGCUAUUCCCAGCACAGAGGACUCUGGGGAGAUGUGAAGACCACGGCGGGUCAAUGUGAACUCUGCCGAGAGGGGGCUUCCUGAAGCCUCAUUCAGGCCAUUGAACAACCACCUCUUUCAGGAGCCUCAGCCCCAAGCCCUUCCCUGGAACAGCCCAGAAACUGCAUCUCCGGGGUGGACCCCUCAAAGCACCACGGAGGAGGCAAGUCCUUUGGCUUCUAAGGCUGGCCCAGGAAGUCUGGACUGGGCCCACCCAAGGCUCCCGUCACCAGCCUCUGGCGACAGCCCUGCCCAGGAGUUCUCAAUAUGGCCUUUUGAGGAGUCCACCAAGAAAAGAGGCUUGUGGCUUCUGGUUUACUGGUAUUGAUGAAAAGAAUGCUAAUGAAAUCCCAAAUAAAAGCAGUAA